CAGGAUAUAGGCCAGUUUGGUAGGUCGCUCGCCUUGGAAGCGAGAAGUCGCUAGUUCAAAUCUAGCUAUCCUGA
rnacentral:tRNA from 1 species